ensembl:snoRNA small nucleolar RNA SNORD47
AACAAAUGAUGAAACUAUUCUGCCAAAUGAUUAAUAUGAUUAUAACCCUACUGUUUCCAUAUUACUCUGAUUGUU